UAUCCACCCCACCUUCACUUUUCGUUUCGAUUAGGGUUUCUAACCCUCGCGCACCUCUUCGCCGUCGUUGUUGCCCCUUCUUUUCCGGCUCAUUUCUCCGGUGAUGUCGUUCGCCCCACACUCCCUUGCAGCAACAGAGGGCCGUUCCCCCCUCGAGAGGAAUCGUUUAUGAUAUGUGGAUGAGUUUUUUGAGUUGUUUAGCGAUUUUGACGAUUUAUCCAAAUCGGUUGUCGUCGAUGCCUUUUCUGCCCUGAUUUCUCUGGAUCUACUACUUCGAACACUAAUCACAUGGUGCUCCAUUGAUUCGUCCAUGAUUCGGAGCCGGAGGUUGAUUCCAGCGUGGCCCUUGUUCAAGCCAAGUGAUCGCUGUUUCGGAAACCUUCUUCAUUGACCCAGGGUAGGAUCGAAGCGGCUCCAUUGAAUUGCUCUUCUACCCGUGAAGUUGUCGUCGAUAUGCUUUGUAAAUUCUGCCCUCUCGCCGUCGAGUCACUGGAGUAUCGUUUAAGAGGCCAAACUAAAAAUCAUUUUGGUAAAUGAUUUACUAUCCUAGAUGUUGGGUGGUUUGAUCUCUACAACUGAGGUGAAAAAUACAGGGAGAUGAUGUCAUUGUUGUUGUGUCACUGUCCGUGACCAGCAAGAGGUGCAUGUUUGUGAAAAAAAAUGGUGUAUUUGCAGCACUUAAGUGCAUUAUGCAUGUUUGUAUUAAACAUGUAUUAAACAUCUAUAUAUUUUAAAAUUAUGUCUGUUUGAAUUAAUUAUGUAUUUAGUAAUGUAUAUUUUAAAAUUAAAUUAUUGUUUGCAUUAAUUAAUAUUAGUGUACUU